AUUUUUAUGUUGUUGCAUUAAAUUAUUUGUCUUACCAAUACUUAAAUUUCGUAGUCAUUAAACUCUCACAGUGCGUUUAUCAUAAAACACAACUCUAAGCUUCAAGUUACGUUCAAAAAAGCUUCGCACACUCGACUUUGUAUGAAAAUUGUCAUAUUUCACACCGCAGAGCAGAGCUGAGCGGAGCAACGGUAAAUGCAAGAUAAAAGAGCAAAUAUCUCAUCAGGAGCAGCUGAGCGAAAACUAAUUAUCACCCCGUUAAACUCUCGGCUAUCAAUUUCAAUAAUUAGAAAUUUUCCAGAGCUGUGGCAGAGCCACAACAACAACAACAACAACAGGAAAGCAGCUUGAAACUUUAGCCGUGGGGCAGCCAAAAAGAGCAACGGCAACAGCAGUUUUAAUGAUGGAAAAGCUUAAUAGUUGCCAUUAAGAAAAACGCGUGCAGGACUGAGUAAAAAUGAAAUUUCAAACUAAAAGCAUUUUGCGCCUUGAAGCAACAAAAAGCAAUGGAAAGCGGGGGCGGAGGCGGAGGAGGGGGUUUAAUGCAUACAUAUAGAAAGCAGUUAGUUGGGAGACGGAAGACGACGACGUCGUCUGCGUUGGCAACCAAUUAGCAGCUUAUUAGAAUGCACACCAAAAAAUUUCUCAGCACAAAAAAAAGUGAAGCAGAGCAUAAAAAGCGUCGAAAACUUGCUCGACAACCCAACAGCCAAACUGCCAGUUUUGUUGGCCAACUCAGCCGGGUGGCCGCAAGGAACUUUUGGGGCAAGCAGACGGAGGGAGAGAGGAGGCGCAAUUGCAGACGAGACGCCGAAGCUCUGAAGCUUAGCGAGUAAGUGGCCAAGGCACGAACCUGUGGCCAUGUUUGGCAUUAGGUUUGGGCAACUGAAACUGCCACUGCCAUUGCGACUGCGACUUGGACAGAGACUGCGACUGCUACUCAGACUGAGACUGAGACUGAGACUGACUCUGAGAUUGGGCACUGAGAAUUGGGAACUGAGAACAGGGAACAGGGAACUGAGAACCUGCCCAUCGUCGUCGCUUCAAGCGUAAAAAGUUAUACUCAAAAAUGCUGUUGAGUUGCUUUCUUGGAAAUUGGUCCUGCACUCGCAUUGGCAUUGGGCAAACCCAAAGCGGACGCAUCGCAGCCAGAUGGAGCGGGAAAUCGAGUUGGAGAUGGAGAUGGAGUUGGAGUUGGAGGCUGCAGUAUUACUCCUUCGUCUGCGUCUAAUAUGCACGCCCGACUUGCUAAAACAAAUUAUAAGCUAAAAGACAUUGCUAUGAUUAUAACGUUGUCUGCCCCGAUGUGACCAAAAGCCCCCAAGAGAAGAAGGAGAUGGAAAGCAGCUUGUGGGAUGGACCAGAUGUUGUCUUCAGGUUGAAUCGCCAAAGACAACAAGUCUGAGAAAAAGGAGUUAACCUUGCUGUUUGCUGCGAAAUUAGAGUUCAAACUCGCAUUAAAUAAAUAAAGCAACACUCAAAAAGUUUACUUCAGCGUACGAAAGAGGAAUUAACAUAUUUAUUUUUAUAAUAUAAAAUGAAUAAACUUAUGUGAAUAACGCUUCGUAAACAUUCAUUAAAGAUUAAAAUGAAUCUUUUUCUUAUUUCCCUA